rnacentral:rRNA from 1 species
UACGGAGGGUGCAAGCGUUAAUCGGAAUUACUGGGCGUAAAGCGCACGCAGGCGGUCUGUCAAGUCGGAUGUGAAAUCCCCGGGCUCAACCUGGGAACUGCAUUCGAAACUGGCAGGCUACGAGUCUUGUAGAGGGGGGUAGAAUUCCAGGUGUAGCGGUGAAAUGCGUAGAGAUCUGGAGGAAUACCGGUGGCGAAGGCGGCCCCUGGACAAAGACUGACGCUCAGGUGCGAAAGCGUGGGGAGCAAACAGGAUUAGAUACC